UUUCACGACCCCAUAUGGCAAUAAAUGC
rnacentral:sRNA from 1 species